UACGUAGGGUGCGAGCGUUAAUCGGAAUUACUGGGCGUAAGCGUGCGCAGGCGGUUCGUUGUGUCGGCGGUGAAAGCCCCGGGCUCAACCCUGGGAAUGGCCGUUGAAACUGGCGAACUGGAGUGUGGCAGAGGGGGUGGAAUUCCGCGUGUAGCAGUGAAAUGCGUAGAGAUGUGGAGGAACACCGAUGGCGAAGGCAGCCCCUGGGUCAAGAUUGA
rnacentral:rRNA from 1 species